rnacentral:rRNA from 1 species
GAUGAACGCUGGCGGCGUGCCUAAUACAUGCAAGUCGAGCGAAGCGGGGACGGGUGAGUAACACGUGGGUAACCUCCUAUAAGGCUGGGAUAACUCCGGGAAACCGGAGCUAACCCGGUUACUUAUCGAUGGGGCUGCGCUGCAUUAGCUAGUUGGUAAGGUAAUGGCUUACCAAGGCAACGAUGCAUAGCAGACCUGAGAGGGUGAUCGGCCACACUGGAACUGAGACACGGCCCAGACUCCUACGGGAGGCAGCAGUAGGGAAUCUUCCGCAAUGGGCGAAAGCCUGACGGAGCCACGCCGCGUGAGUGAUGAAGGUCCUCGGAUCGUAAAACUCUGUUAGUCGGGAAGCGUUACCUACUCAGAAAGCACCGGCUAACUCCGUGCCAGCAGCCGCGGUAAUUC